UACGGAAGGCAGCAGUGGGGAAUAUUGCACAAUGGGCGCAAGCCUGAUGCAGCCAUGCCGCGUGUAUGAAAAAGGCCUUCGGGUUGUAAAGUACUUUCAGUCGUGAGGAAGGUGUUAAGGUUAAUAACCUUAGCAAUUGACGUUAGCGACAGAAGAAGCACCGGCUAACUCCGUGCCAGCAGCCGCGGUAAUACGGAGGGUGCGAGCGUUAAUCGGAAUUACUGGGCGUAAAGGGCACGCAGGCGGUUAAUAAGUUGGAUGUGAAAUCCCCGGGCUUAACCUGGGAAUGGCAUUCAAGACUGGUUAGCUAGAGUCUUGUAGAGGGGGUAGAAUUCCAUGUGUAGCGGUGAAAUGCGUAGAGAUGUGGAGGAAUACCGGUGGCGAAGGCGGCCCCUGGCAAAGGACUGACGCUCAUGUGCGAAAGCGUGGGGAGCAAACAGGGAUUAGAUACC
rnacentral:rRNA from 1 species